rnacentral:lncRNA from 1 species
UUAAAUGCCAACAGAUGCUUGGGAGGAAAAGAAUUUGAAUACCAUCUAUCGAUAUUCUAUUCAAGAGGCAUAUUGCAAAAUGAUUAAGGUAUUGUACUACUCCUAAUCUAUCUGAUUAUUUGAUUUGAAGGAAACCAACAAACUUAGUUAGGGAUCUACUGAUCCAUAAACAUUGAAAUGGGGAGAUGUCUUCUGGAAUUCCGAUUUCCCAUUAGGAAAAGUAGAAGCCGCCUCACAAGAUCCCGU